GGGCGGGUAGCGUAGUGGUCAGCGCAUUCACUGAGCGUGGUUCUUUCCUAAGCGGAUUCAAGCGUUGUUUUCUAAGUAUAUACCACCGAGCGUUCAUUGAAAGACCUGGGUUCGAUUCCCAGCCCGCCCA